AAAGAAAAAAAAAAACUUAUAAUACAUUCAAGUACGGGUCUAAAUCGUAUAAUUUUAUAUGGACGGUAGAGGUCAUAAUUUAAAUUCGUAUAAGUAAUCGAGGGAAACCAUUUCAAAUUUCAAAAGCUUCAUGGCUCAUGGAAACAGAUUCGGUGUGCAGCUGAGCUUGUGCUGAGUAUCGGAUUAAUGGUCAAUAAUUAUUUAAGAUCCAUAUGAAGUAAUUGCUGAUUAUUGAUCCGGUGCUCAGCACAAGCUCAGUUGAGCACCGGAUCCUAAUCCCAUGACUCGUACCUAAAAUUUGUGAUAUCAAGAGAGACUAGCAAAAGAGCUCAUUGUUAUUACUUGCAUUAAUAAUAAUAAUUUUUUUUUAAACUGUAUUAAAAAUAAUAUUUUAUUACCUUAUUACUGCAACAAGGAAGUAAACAAACUAAGAAGAAAUUUAACUAAAAGAAAAUAUAUAUGAGUAAGUAAAUAAAUAAAAGGGUUUUAUUACAUCUGAUGUGAGUUAUUCUUGUUGAGAAAGCUCACUUAUCCAUAAAUAACAAAAAGCGUUACUAAAAGGAAUGAAAAAUCCUAAAUUAAUUUUGUGAUAAAUUAGUUAAGACAACAAUUUACUUCUUCCACUUUACUUGUCGCAAUAACCUUUUCUAGAUGUGUUAUUUCCGCAAUCCGCAUCAUCCUCUACAAUGAAGGGCACUUUCUCUCCGAUCUGUAAAAUCCCAAAUAUUCGGGAUUAAAUAUUAUUACAUAAAAUUUUAAUUAUUAAAUCAAAGAGUUAUGCUCCGUUGUAGGUGUACACGUAAAUUUCUGUGUGGACGUGCACUGUUACAGCAUUGUAAAAAGGGGCAUUACGGACGUUUGCACUUCAGUAUUUUCAUUUAAUUAAAAUUAACUCUAAUAAUUACUAACCCAAAAAUUUCAAUUGGUAGGUGAUUUUGAAAAGUAAUUUCUUACUAAAUCAAGAAACAAAACUUAGAGAUAACAAAUCUAACUGCUCUCCCAAAAAAAAAAAAAAGUCGAGUGGCCAGAAUCUUAAUGAGAGCAGCGGUUCGAGCCUCUACUCGUAUGUAAGGAUUUAUUUAUUUUUUCUUAAUUAUGAUAUAUAAUUAAGUGAAGAAAUUUCUCGAAUAUUAAAGAUAAUUAUAAAUAUCAGUUGUAGUCUCAUACAAUAAGUUGUUAAAAAAAAAUUUGUUUAUUGGCAUUUCAGAUUUCAAUUGGUAUUUUAAAAAAAUAAAUAGAUAAAUAAGAAUAAAUAAGACCUGUUGUUGGGCAGGAUCAUUAGCUGCAUUUACAGUCUUGGUCCGAGCUGUAUCUGCAUCAUGCUGCACAGACUGUACCCACUCUUCGAUCUUUUCCUGAGCCAAAACACAAAUCAAUAGCACCCACAUAGUUCAAUAGAAUGAAUUAAAUUUAGGCUUGUUAAGAGCAUAUGAUUUACACGGUUAGCCCCGUAGUUUACUCAUUUGAGGUCUAAGAUUCUAAGAUUCUUGCCCUUAAUAUGUCUUUUUCCCUUAAACAAUAGUAAAUUUCACUCGAAAUAAGCUUAAACAUCAAAAUAUAAGUCCUGGUAGGUAUGUAGCUAAAUAAAAAGAUAAUUUUUCUUGCCUGAGUUAAUUGUGCUUGGGCUUGAGCUUCGAUUGUAUUGACUGCUUCUUGUUGUAUGUUAGACAUAUUUUCUCAGAAGAAAUUUUGUGUUUAUGGAAUUUAAAAACUUAAUCCUUUUCCCUUAGGCUUUUUCUAGAUUCAAAAACUUAAUUUUGUUGAGCAAAUGUGUCGAUUGAUCCAUGAAGAUGAAGAGCGUGUAAUUCUGCUAUAGACAUGGAGUUUUAUUAGAGGCUUAACUUGAUAUGUUGAUGUAGCCCUUUGUCCUCUUACUAUUAAGAGAGAAAUAUGCCUCUCCAUAAGUUAUUUUGCAUACAUCAAAAUUACCUUUUUUUUUUUUGCCUUUUUUCAAUGACAUUAUAUUAAAAUAGAUACGUCGUGGAAUAGUCUUAGAUGCUCUAAAUGCAACGACUAUUCGUUAAUUCACAUGCGAAUUAAGUUACUUGACUUCAAAUGCCGAUUUGUGACUUGCACAACUUGUUUAAGUUUUUACAGCUCUAAAGCCUAGAUCUUGUGAUCUUGGUCAUGACAAUUACUGUGCCACAUAUUAAUAAUGUGACAAUGCGUUGCGACACAAGCCUUAAUUAUUAAGUUUUAUUUGUUAACUAUGCCGGAAAAAAACAAAAAGUUGUAUGUAUGUUCCUUGCCUUUGAAGAAUAGAAAAAGGAUAAUAAUUUACAUCAAAAAAAAUUUUAAUUUUAAAUAAUAUAUCAUUAAUUAAGUAGUCGGUAAUAAUUUUUAUAAAAUUUUAGUAAAGUAUUUAUAUUAUUACUAAUUAAUUGAUAUUUACCUCUAAUUUAAGAUAAAUUUUACGAAUAAAAAAUUUAAGAUGUAUUUCUCUAAUAAAAAUGGCUUGGCCUCCAUAAUAAAAAUGUACUUUCCAAGAAAUUAAUUAACAACAAAUAACAAAUUAACAAAAGGCUAUGAGAUGGCAAUAUUAACGAAUAAUCUCAUUAUCAAAAAAUUUGAACCAACGAUUUUGGAUAAACAACUAUGCAAAUUGCCAAUUGAAAACACAAGCGACAGAAGUUAGGUUUAUUUGAGAGAAUUGUAAAUUCAACGAUCAUGAUUCAGUGGUGGCCCACCUCAGAUCAAACCAAGGCCACAUAUUAACUGACAAAAUCCUGAUCAAGGAAUCAUCGAGAUCAUGAUAGAAUAUAUACAUUAUGCAGUUCCCACUGGAGAUGUUUAGGCCUUACACGUGGCGAGCGCUAACUGAUCAUGGCACUAUCCACCAGACGUGUCGGCCUCGACUUCCUUAGACUUCUUUUCGCUUGGACGUCAAAAGAACCUUGGAAAGUAAAACGACAACCCCUUAACAUUUCUUAAGCCGAAAGAACAUGACACGUGAUGCAGCGGCUUUCCUAGCGGGUCAGUUUUCAGAUCUUUUUAACUUAAAGCAGGUAAAAGCGCGUCCGCUGGAACGUUCACGCGCAUCAUCCAUCUCACCGUCCAUGAUCACAUGCACCGAGCAAUCGUUGCCGUUGCCUGCUGAGCCGCCCUUCUCUCGACACGUGUCCCGAACGUAAUGGCAACCCUCUGGAUUUAUUAUUUUAAUCUUAUCCGAACCUGAGGCUUAUAUAUAUUUACAAGGCUUGUUGUUCAACCAGGAGCCCCACUACACAAGCACACGAUAUCAGAAGACUUUCCAUUCAAAAAAACUAAAGAACGUUGAGCAAAAAAAAAAAAAAAAAACUAAAGAACGAAAAAGAAAAAAAACAAAAAAAAAAAAAUUUCUCUGUUAUUUUCUCGGGAAAAUCAAAUCUUCGCGUAAAAUGGCUUUGAAUCUAACACACCAGAUCGGUACACUAGCUGGAACACCAAUUCAGAUGGACAGUGGCGUCGUGUCCGGCGAUUCAACGGGGACGGUGAACGCAUCGGCGGUGUGGAAACCGGUGUCAACAGAUUUGCGCUGUGCGAUCCA
rnacentral:lncRNA from 1 species